GAUGAACGCUGGCGGCGCGCCUAACACAUGCAAGUCGAACGAUUAAAGCACCUUCGGGUGUGUAUAAAGUGGCGAACGGCUGAGUAACACGUGGGCAACCUGCCCCUUUCAUUGGGAUAGCCACGGGAAACCGUGGAUAAUACCGAAUACUUCGAGACUUUUGCAUGAAAGACUCGAGAAAGCUCCGGCGGAGAGGGAUGGGCCCGCGGCCUGUUAGCUUGUUGGUGGGGUAACGGCCUACCAAGGCAAUGAUGGGUAGCUGGGUUGAGAGACCGACCAGCCAGAUUGGGACUGAGACACGGCCCAGACUCCUACGGGAGGCAGCAGUGGGGAAUCUUGCACAAUGGGCGAAAGCCUGAUGCAGCGACGCCGCGUGCGGGAUGAAGGCCUUCGGGUUGUAAACCGUUUCAGCAGGGACGAGGCGAAAUGACGGUACCUGCAGAAGAAGC
rnacentral:rRNA from 1 species